rnacentral:rRNA from 1 species
GAUUUUGGACAAUGGGGGCAACCCUGAUCCAGCCAUCCCGCGUGUGUGAUGAAGGCCUUCGGGUUGUAAAGCACUUUUGGCCGGAAAGAAAUGAACUGGGUUAAUACCCUGGGUGGAUGACGGUACCUGCAGAAUAAGCACCGGCUAACUAUGUGCCAGCAGCCGCGGUAAUACGUAGGGUGCAAGCGUUAAUCGGAAUUACUGGGCGUAAAGCGUGCGCAGGCGGUUCGGCAAGAAGGAUGUGAAAUCCCGGGGCUUAACCUCGGAACUGCAUUCUUAACUGCCGGGCUAGAGUAUGUCAGAGGGGGGUAGAAUUCCGCGUGUAGCAGUGAAAUGCGUAGAGAUGCGGAGGAAUACCGAUGGCGAAGGCAGCCCCCUGGGAUAAUACUGACGCUCAUGCACGAAAGCGUGGGGAGCAAAC